GCUGACUGAAGUGGCGCCAUGCAGGUCACCCUGAAGACCCUCCAGCAGCAGACUUUCAAGAUCGACAUCGACCUGGAGGAGACGGUGAAAGCACUGAAAGAGAAGAUUGAAUCUGAAAAAGGGAAAGAUGCCUUCCCAGUAGCAGGUCAAAAAUUAAUUUAUGCAGGUAAAAUCCUCAAUAUGGCUCUCAAAGAAUAUAAAAUCGAUGAGAAAAACUUUGUGGUGGUUAUGGUGACAAAACCCACAGCAGUGACCACACCAGCACCAGCUACAAUGCAGCAAUCGAGCCCUGCCAGCACCACCACUGUUAGUUCCUCCACAGCAACAGCUGUGGCUCAGGCACCAACCCCUGCCCCUGCUUUGGCUCCCACAACCACAUCUGCGUCCAUCACUCCAGCAGUGACAACGGCAUCUUCUGAACCUGUGCCUGCUAGUGCAGCUCAGCAGGAGAAGCCUGCAGAAAAGCCAGCAGAGACACCACCAGCUAGCAGCCCUACAUCAACUGACAAUACGUUAGGAGAUUCUUCUGGGUCAAACCUUUUUGAAGAUGCAACAAGUGCACUUGUGACAGGUCAGUCUUACGAGAAUAUGGUAACUGAGAUCAUGUCUAUGGGCUAUGAACGAGAGCAAGUAAUUGCAGCCCUGAGAGCCAGUUUCAACAGCCCUGACAGAACAGUAGAAUAUCUUUUAAUGGGAAUCCCUGGAGAUAGAGAAAGUCAGGCUGUGGUUGACCCUUCUCAAGCAGCUAGUGCUGGGACACCUCAGGCCACUGAAGUGGCUGCAGCUGCAGCGACUACAACAGCAGCUAUGACAACCACAAGUUCUGGAGGACAUCCCCUUGAGUUUUUACGGAACCAGCCUCAGUUUCAACAGAUGAGACAAAUUAUCCAACAGAAUCCUUCCCUGCUUCCAUCAUUGCUACAACAGAUAGGUCGAGAGAAUCCUCAGUUGCUGCAGCAAAUUAGCCAACACCAGGAGCAUUUUAUUCAGAUGUUGAACGAACCAGUUCAGGAAGCUGGUGGUCAAGGAGGAGGUGGUGGAGGUGGCAGCGGAGGAAUUGCAGAAGCAGGAAGUGGGCACAUGAACUACAUCCAAGUAACGCCUCAGGAAAAGGAAGCUAUAGAAAGGUUAAAGUCAUUAGGAUUUCCUGAAGGACUUGUGAUACAAGCAUAUUUUGCUUGUGAGAAGAAUGAGAAUUUGGCUGCCAAUUUCCUUCUACAGCAAAACUUUGAUGAAGAUUUAAAGGGACUUUUUUGUAUAUCACACUUCACACCAGUGCAUUACACUAACUUUGUUCACUGGAUUGUCUGGGACGACUUGGGUUCAUAUCCACAGUACUUGGUAUAUGAUAGUAGAUUGUUGGGGUGGGGUGGGCGGGAUCUAGGAUACAGGGCAGGGAUAAAUUACAGUGCAUGUCUGCUUCAAUUAGCAGAUGCUGCAAAUCCACACAGUGUGUAAAAUAUACAACCAAAAAU